GCGCUCGUAGCUCAGCUGGAUAGAGUACCUGGCUACGAACUAGGCGGUCGGAGGUUCGAAUCCUCCCGAGCGCGCCA
rnacentral:tRNA from 3 species